UUGGUGAGAUAAAAGCCCACCAAGGCAACGAUCAGUAACCGGCUUGAGAGAGUGAACGGUCACAUUGGAACUGAGACACGGUCCAAACUCCUACGGGAGGCAGCAGUGGGGAAUAUUGCACAAUGGGGGAAACCCUGAUGCAGCGACGCCGCGUGAGCGAUGAAGGAAUUCGUUUCGUAAAGCUCUGUCCUAGGGGAAGAUAAUGACAGUACCCUUGGAGGAAGCCCCGGCUAAAUACGUGCCAGCAGCCGCGGUAAUACGUAUGGGGCGAGCGUUGUCCGGAAUUAUUGGGCGUAAAGGGUACGUAGGCGGUUUCAUAAGUCAGAUGUAAAAGCGUGGGGCUCAACCCCAUAAAGCAUUUGAAACUGUGGAACUUGAGUAGUGGAGAGGAAAGUGGAAUUCCUAGUGUAGCGGUGAAAUGCGUAGAUAUUAGGAGGAAUACCAGUGGCGAAGGCGACUUUCUGGACACAAACUGACGCUGAGGUACGAAAGCAUGGGGAGCAAACAGGAUUAGAUACCCUGGUAGUCCAUGCCGUAAACGAUGAAUGCUAGGUGUCGGGGGUCAAACCUCGGU
rnacentral:rRNA from 1 species